rnacentral:lncRNA from 1 species
AAUAAGUAAAAAUUUGAAGCAAUAGAAAAGUGGCACAAUUUUCUACUUAGGUCCUAAAUGAUUUUCAAAUUAUUCUUACAUCUCUGAAUAUUUUAGGAAAAAAAGAAUGAGAUAAGAAUGGGAAAAACAAAAUGAGAAAACAAAAUGUGAAAAUGAGUUUGAUGGAAUAAUGAAAUAAAAAAAAUUAAACAAUGUACAAGAUUUUAAUAUAUUACAUAUCUAUAUCUAUAUUUAUAUCUAUAUCUAUAUCUAUAUCUAUAUCUAUCUAUCUCAAGAAACUAAAACGUGACUCUGUUGCAUAUAAUGGAUUCAUUUGGCUCUGACUGUAGUGCCAAUGCAGGAAAAGAAAAUAAGCAUGUUAACUUUCCCUCUACUUGGUCUCAGGAAAUUCAAUCAAAUAAGUCUUUAAAUAUCUCAUGGUGAUUGGGCAUCUAAGCUCUAAGUUUAACAAUGUACAAUUGAACAACUCAGAAAACUGUUUACCUUAGACUAACACAUUUCCAUGGUUGUUUAUACAAUGUAGAGUUUUGGGAGCAUUACUUGUGAUUGUGGUUUCAUUCCUCCAAACAUUUUCCGUUUCUUUGUUAUUUUUGAUUUAUUUCUCUUUGUUUCCAUCCCCUCACUUUACGAAGUUCACACGGUGUGUUGAGUAAUGACUUUACUGUUGUAAUUGUCAUUGGAAGCAGCCUAUUUGUGUUGGAGAAUUAUAAGUGUCCUUACUGGAGCCAACGCUUCAACAAGUUUGUAUUAUUCAUGAGGAAGAUCCACAAAUUGUAGGAGCUGGUAAGAAAGAACACCAAGACUUGAUUUAAAGUUCUUUCAGAAGAACCGAGGAAGAUAGAUGGCCUGGAAGAUUUUUGGUAUCACAUCUGAACUCUCAUCAGUCAAGGGAAGGUAUUUUCAAAACUAGGUGGUCAAAAUGGCAUCACAGGAAUUUUCUGACUUCCAUUCUUGAAUAGGAGAGUCUAAAAGACAAGACAAAGAAAUCCUCAUCCUUCAGCAUUUUUAUGCAAAAUGAUAACAUUUAGAAGAAAAUUGGAAACAGCCAAUUUCUGAGAAUUACGCACAAAGAACUAACUAUAGUGUGGUCAUUGUUUGUGUUAAUACUAUUAAAUGUUUGGGGGGAAUUUGAUUUUGAUUGAAACCAGGAUUGUUUCCUUUUCCAAAUGACCAGAUCAGGUUCUGUGGAUACAUGUUCCUGCAGUCUUUCUUCAUUGUGCUGAUCAUACAUUUAAUUUCUUCAUUGUCUUCCCCCCCCAGUCUGUAAGUUUCAGAGGGGAUGAACUGGGUCCACCAUGCACUCUCUCAUUCCCCUCACUAGCAACAUGUGGACUUGGCACAUGGUAAGUCCUUCAUUAUUUGUUGCUCAACUGGCAAACAGGAGCAUGGAAGUAAGUGAAUUAUAUGUAGAACAUUUCAUUUUGAAGAUAUCUGUGUGGAAUAGAAGGCAGGGGGUAAAUAUUCUACUUGAAUCAGUCUCAUUUUUUUUCUCCCCAGUCUCAUUUCUUGACUCUUUGAGGCUCUUGCUAGUUUUGACUCAUUUCCAAGAUUCUAAGUCUGAUUUGUCAUUGUCCCCUGCAAAUCCUUGGAAAGAACUAAUCCUAUGUACAAAAGACUGUUCAUAAAUAUUUAUUUCUUGGAUAUUGUUCAUUUUUGACUGAUCUGGGGGUCUUGGCUACAAUUUUUUCAGCUGGGUUUGGUAUGAAUCUAGUUGACUAUGGAAUCUGAGGUUAUCCUGAACAGAUGUUAGGCCUAGAAUUGGUUCUAACAUAUACAUUAUUGGUUCUAACAUAAUGCAUGUGUGUGUGUAUGUGUGAGUGUGUGUGUGUUCAUGUGCACACUUAUGAAGCUAGGUCAAACCUCUUUUGACUGCUCUAGGAUGACCCAGUUUUUCCAAGAAGAAUAUGGAAGCAUUCUUUAAAUAUACUAAUUGAGCGCUAAGGUUGUAAAUUUUGCAUAUUGGCUACAAAGUUCAGUUGCAUGAUUAUUGUCACUGAUUUCGAAAUAUUUCUAAAGCAUUAUAUUGCAAUACUAUUUAUCAUUUUUGACUAUGCCAUUAUUUUUUCAAGCUUCCAGGCUUUUGUGUUUACUCUCUAUUUUGUUCAAAAAUUUUCUUAUUAUUCUCCUCUUCACCACAACUCUUUUACUUCUCCCACUCCAUGCCCCCUGCAAAAAUUAAUAAAUAAAAACCCAACUACUCUGUAUAUUUACAUAUAUACAUACACAUAUAUUACAUACUUUCUCAUAUUGAUGCUUUGCACACAUCUAUUCUUGCAUGCUUGAUUUUCUGCAUUCCCUUCUAGACCUUACAUAAACCAUGCAAAGACUCACAUGGCACUUAUCCUAUAUUCCCAGUUCUUACCCAAUACCUGCCAUAUGGUUGGUUGAUGUUAUCUCUUUGUUGGAUAAAGAAUGAAUGAAUGAACAUGUGGCCUAGACUACAUUUCUGAUUAUGCCUAUGUUCAUGCUAGCUCGCUUUUUAACAGUUUUGGUAGAGCUGGGAAAGGCAAAAUAUGAGAAAUGAUGUUCUUAUCUCAGCUUCUGAGACGGAUUGUGUGUGUAACUAUUUGCUUGCUGCUAUGGUCCUAUCACCUUUGCUAUGGGUGUGUGUCACAUACAUAAGCCUUAUAAAACCAUUGCAGACCAUGACACAGCCUUUCAACUAAAAUAUUUCCACUAAAGAUGCAUAGAUUUCAGCUUGUAUGUUGUUUUCCAAACUCUGUGUGCCGGUGAGUUGUCUCUCAUUGUCAAACCUUUUCCUCUGGCUGUCCACCAUUGGGACUCCUCCACCCAUCAUGCUCCUCCAUCUGCUACCACCACAUCAGUGCAACUGAAUGCAGCAUCAUUGAUUCUGUACUCUUUGCCUGCUCUCGAAUUUGGCCAUAGAUUUGGAUGGAGAACAAAUGAGGUCUAAUAGUGUGUUACCCUCAAUUCCGCAUUCUGUCUCAGAAGAUCACCAGGUGGGGUGGGGCUAAGGGGCCCCACCAUCUCUGCAAGAAAGUGGUGGUGGGUGCCCUCAGAAUUUAGGAUUGUUCUCUCAGAACCUUUAAUUUAUGCUUAAAAAUAUGUAAAACCAUACAUCUUUCUUUUCUGCACUUGAAAAACUGAGUUCUUCAUGUUGAUUCUUUGUACCACAAGCUACAUUGGACAUGGAGACGUAUCUUUAUACAUCAGAAACAAGACUCAGUAUUAAUUCAGAACAUCUGGGCUUAGUUCUUGACUGGUCUAUAGAUAGCUAUAUAACUUUGGGCAAGUUACUUCAUCCCUUCAAGAUACAGUUUUCAUCUCUAAAAGGGAAGUGUUGAAGGUAUCUCUAAAGUCACUCAUAGUUCUGGAAUUUUAUUACUUGUUCUUGCUAUCCUUCAAUAUUAAUAUAAAUUUCUACCUUUAUUAUUAUUCCUUUGAACAAAAAGGGGAUACCACAGACUCUACAGAUAAUGUACCACUCUGAAAACAAAACCCAAGACGUGCUUAUUAAAUAAAUUAGAUAGUCAUAUCCCAGUCAUGUUUCUAUUUUCCUUUUAACAGAAAGGGAAUAUUUCAUCCAUAGAAAGUAUGCUAUUUCUAACAUAAAGAAGAUAUCAUUUCGGGGCCCUCAAGAAAGUACUAAAAGUUUAACUCACUUUUUCUUUACACCAUCAGAAAGUCAGAUGAAACAUUUCAGUCACUGGGCUAGAAUCUUGAACCAUGUGUAUCCCUAGCAUAAUUUGUUAAAAAGGCUGUCUUUUCUCCCAUGUAUAUUUUUGGCACCUUUGUCAAAGAUCAAAUGACUUUGGAUGUGUGGGUUUGCCUCAUCUAUUUUACACCAUUGUCUAUAAUACAGUAAAUCAUAGUGAUCUUUUCAUAUAAGGAGAUUCUCUCAAUGAUGUCUAUAAAUAUUGCACUGUGUGGAAAGAUCAACAGUUUAAUAAAACCUCUUUUUAAAAUGGGGAAACUAUGCUGUUCUCAAUUUUUGUAAUCACAAACAGUGCUUCAUUGUGUGUCUCGGUGUUGCCCAGACCUUGGCUGAGCACCCAUACAAGUAUUUCUGUUAGAUAAAUUCCUAGAAGUGGAAUUAUUGAGAUAAAGAGAUGACAUAUUCUUAAUUUUGAUAGAUAUUCUUAAAUUAGCCUUUUAAGUUAAUGUUCCAAAUUCUAUUUGAGCCAACUGCUAUUAUAAGAGUUUUUGCUUUAAUUCCCAGUAUCAUCAGAUAUUAUAAAUCUUCAAGUUUUGUCAAGUUGAAGAGUUAAAAAAAAAUCUAACUACAUCUCAUUGUUUUAACUUGCAUUUCUGAUUAUUACCAAGGCUAAACAUUGUUUAUGGUAGAGUUUACUUCUUUUUAUACAGUUUCACUUUGUAUUUUUACUAUGCUGCUCCAUUGAGGUAUUUUUUUUGCGUAACAAUGCUUAGUUAUUGGGUUAUUUUUUUGCAGAAGCUUUUA